rnacentral:misc_RNA from 1 species
UGAGGAUGCAGUUGCAGUUCAGGUAGUUAUGGAGUUAUGUGCUGGUGGUGAGCUAUUUGAUAGGAUCAUUCAACGUGGACAUUAUACUGAAAGAAAGGCUGCUGAGCUUACUAGGACCAUCGUUGGGGUCGUGGAGGCCUGUCACGCUCUUGGAGUAAUGCAUCGAGACCUUAAGCCCGAGAAUUUUCUCUUUGUCAGCAAGGAAGAGGAGUCACUUCUCAAAACAAUUGAUUUUGGACUAUCGGUAUUCUUCAAACCAGGUGAAAAGUUUAAUGAUGUGGUCGGGAGUCCGUACUAUGUUGCACCAGAAGUUUUACGGAAGCGCUAUGGACAUGAAGCCGAUGUUUG